UACGGAGGGGGCUAGCGUUGUUCGGAAUUACUGGGCGUAAAGCGCACGUAGGCGGCUUUGUAAGUUAGAGGUGAAAGCCCGGGGCUCAACUCCGGAAUUGCCUUUAAGACUGCAUCGCUAGAAUUGUGGAGAGGUGAGUGGAAUUCCGAGUGUAGAGGUGAAAUUCGUAGAUAUUCGGAAGAACACCAGUGGCGAAGGCGACUCACUGGAUCGGUACUGACGCUGAGGUGCGAAAGCGUGGGGAGCAAACAGG
rnacentral:rRNA from 1 species